GACGAACGCUGGCGGCGUGCCUAACACAUGCAAGUCGAACGAGGUCCAAGGAGUGCUUGCACUCCUGAAGACCUAGUGGCGAACGGGUGAGUAGCACGUGAGAAACCUGCCCCGGACUCUGGGAUAACUCAAGGAAACUUGAGCUAAUACCGGAUACCCUCCUGCGGUCGCAUGGCUGCUUGAGGAAAGUUUUUCGGUCUGGGAGGGUCUCGCGGCCUAUCAGCUAGUUGGUGAGGUAACGGCUCACCAAGGCGACGACGGGUAGCUGGUUUGAGAGAACGAUCAGCCACACUGGAACUGAGACACGGUCCAGACUCCUACGGGAGGCAGCAGUGGGGAAUCUUGCGCAAUGGGCGAAAGCCUGACGCAGCAACGCCGCGUGCGGGAUGACGGCCUCGGUUGUAACGACGUUCUAGCAGGACGAAGAGUAGACGGUACCGU
rnacentral:rRNA from 1 species